UACGUAGGGUGCAAGCGUUGUCCGGAAUUAUUGGGCGUAAAGAGCUCGUAGGCGGUUCGUCGCGUCGGCUGUGAAAACCUGAGGCUCAACCUCAGGCCUGCAGUCGAUACGGGCGGACUUGAGUACUGCAGGGGAGACUGGAAUUCCUGGUGUAGCGGUGAAAUGCGCAGAUAUCAGGAAGAACACCCGUGGCUAAGGCGGCUCUCUAGUACGGUACUGACGCUGAGACGCGAAAGCGUGGGGAGCGAACAGG
rnacentral:rRNA from 1 species